rnacentral:lncRNA from 1 species
UGAGCUCAUAUUUCCCCCAUAGGGCAGGUCAUGUCAAAGCACGAUUUCACAUACUGCUGCGUGGCCAAGUAGGAUUGUUAUCUUGCAAGGUAGGAAGAAGACAAGAAGAAUGAAUAAAAUAUGUGCUUGGGAAUCAUCUGUGCCUCAAAUCUGAGAAGGAAAAUCUAUCAUCAGGUCCACAGAGUACAGAUAAAGCUGAAAAUGAAAUCAAAGUCCAAAGGCUGGAAGUGAUACUGAUGCAAGAAUACAACAGGCUGGGAAAAGAAAUGGAAAAGCUAAAACAAAAACAAAAACAAACUGAUAAAAAAGGCAUCCAAGGCAUGUGCCAUGGAUGAGGUUAGAAGCUUGGAUACUUGUUUUCUUAGUAGAUAGCCACAUGUUCAAGGGAGGAAGAGAAUAUUUUCAAGUUUCUUCUGAGAACUAGAUUCCAUGACAUAGGUUGUGUGCAAUCUAUUAAUGUUCUAGGAUAAGUCUUCACCUAGUAUUCUCAUUUCCUUAAACUUUUCCCUUUGGAGCUGUGAUACCAUGGUGCUUUUGUUCUCUCUUUACCUCCUUAAUAGAUAGUACAUGUCCUUUACAGGACUCACUUCCUCUUAUGCUUCUUAAAUUCUGAUAUUCAUAAGAAUGAAAUGGAGGUAUUGCAAAGAAAGAAGCCAUGUCGUUCAUACCAAUGUUUUUUUUUUUUUAAAGUAGCCUUUUUUAUCCUUUGGGAUCUCAUUUCAUCAAAUCUCUUUUCUCCAACAUGUCAUGCUGUAUUUGCAAGAAAGUGUUUCAGUGUUUAUUUACACCCCCAGUUUUG